rnacentral:lncRNA from 1 species
AAGGAAGAUAAUGAUCCCUCUGAAAAAAAAAAAUAGUGGUAGACUGGAAAGUUAGUCAGUAGAAGGUAUGAAGAUGGAAUCCAAGGACAAAAAUUAGUAUUUACUGGACAUGUGUUUUCACUAAUUUUUGUAUUACCUCCUAUUGGCAACCCUAGUUGUUUCACUCCUUAGUAAGUUAUGCUCUUUUGAACUACAUGUAUUCUUGGUUCCUGUAUUUUAACAGAGAACACUGUAACAAUGAAAAUCAGAUUUUAUUGUAAUCACAGAUAUCAUUUAUAUUGUCCAUAAAGGCAUACUCUGAUAUCUAUUAUGGUAUAGAGGUUGUGAAAGGCUAAAUCCCUGGGUCAUAUGCUCUGGAAGAUUCUACCAUCCUGAAGGUCUUUUGCCUUCUAUCUGGGGUGGUUUGGAGAGCUUCAUUAUGAAGCAGUCUGGUUAUUUGGUGAGUGAUGAUACCCAUCGCUACUCUUGAAAACAAAGAUAAUACAAAAUAGCCCCUCCUCUUCUAUAAUGACAGUAACAGUGGUAGUCAUCAAAGAAGAUGAUAGAUGGCACUAAGAAUAACAGUUUUUAGGUCACCUAUAAAUGACAAUUUAGCUAUUAAAAAUGAUACCCUUAUCUGGUGGCUUACAGAGGAACAUAUCCUGGAAACGUUGAAUUCUAGAGCUAGGGCUAGGAACUGGAGCUACUGCAGUUGUUAGUAUUUGCUCUAGAGUGUUCAUUUGGAGUCUCUCUUCAGUCAUAUCCCCUCCACCCCUGUAGUCAAGCAGUUGCUUUUCUUCGGUUUUUACUCUCACAGUUUAUCCUCUGCUUGUGGAUAGUGUUUUUUAGAUCCCUGCAGAUUGUUCAGGGACAUUGCAUUGUCCCUACUGGAGAAGUCCAUUACCUUCUAUUGUACCACAAUGUAUCAGUCUGUGUAUAAUGAUUUCCUGGUUCUGCUCCUUUCGCUCUGCAUCUCUUCCUGGAGGUUGUUCCAGACUCCAUGGAAUUCCUCCACUUUAUUAUUCCUUUUAGCACAAUAGUAUUCCAUCACCAACAUAUACCACAAUUUGUUCAGCCAUUCCCCAACUGAAGGUCAUUCCCUCAUUUUCCAAUUUUUGGCCACCACAAAGAGUGCAGCUAUGAAUAUUCUUGUACAAGUCUUUUUCCUUAUUAUCUCUUUGGGGUACAAACCCAGCAGUGCUAUGGCUGGAUCAAAGGGCAGACAGUCUUCUAUUGCCCUAUGGGCAUAGUUCCAAAUUGCCCUCCAGAAUGGUUGGAUCAAUUAACAACUCCACCAGCAAUAAAUUAGUGUCCCUACUUUACCGCA